rnacentral:rRNA from 1 species
AGUGGCAGACGGGUGAGUAACACGUAGGAAUCUACCCAGUAGUGGGGAAUAGCCUCGGGAAACCGAGGGUAAUACCGCAUACUCUCUACGGAGAAAAGGUCUUCGGAUCGCUAUUGGAGGAGCCUGCGCGCUAUCAGCUAGUUGGUACGGUAACGGCGUACCAAGGCUAUGACGGCUAGCCGAUGUGAGAGCAUGAUCGGCCACAAGGUUACUGAGACACGGAGCCUACACCUACGGGUGGCAGCAACCGGGAAUUUUGCGCAAUGGGCGAAAGCCUGACGCAGCGACACCGCGUGUGGGAAGACGCUCUUCGGAGUGUAAACCACUGUGGCAGGGGACGAAAUUUUGACGGUACCCUGCUAGAAAGCACCUGCUAACCACGUGCCAGAAGCCUCGGUAAUACGUGGGGUGCAAGCGUUAUCCGGAAUCACUGGGCGUAAAGCGUCCGUCGGCGGUUUGGUAAGUUGACUGUUUAAGCCUAGGGCUCAACUCUAGAUCGGCAGUCAAAACUACCUAACUUGAAUUAGUUCGGGGUAGCCGGAAUUCUUGGUGGAGGGGUGAAAUCCGUAGAUAUCAAGAGGAACGCCAGUCGCGAAGGCGAGCUACUAGAACUUAAUUGACGCUCAGGGACGAAAGCUUGGGUAGCAAAGCGGAUUAGAGACCCGUGUAGUCCAAGCCGUAAAUGCUGGAUGCUAGCUUCCUGUACUUUUAGUAUGGGGGGCGUAAGUUAACGCGUUAAGCAUCCCGCCUGGGGAGUACGGCCGCAAGGCUAAAACUCAAAGGAAUUGACGGGGGAGCGCACAACCGGUGGAGCAUGUGGUUUAAUUCGAUACAAAGCGAAAAACCUUACCUGGGUUUGACAUCUAGCUGCAUGCUUUACGAAAGUAAAGCAGCCUUCGAGGGUGCUAGACAGGUGAUGCAUGGCUGUCGUCAGCUCGUGUUGUGAGACGUCAAAGUAAGUGCGGUAACGAGCGCAACCCUUGUCCUGUGUUAUACAAGUCACAGGAGACUGCCGUUGUAUAUCAAGGGAGGA